GACGAACGCUGGCGGCGUGCUUAACACAUGCAAGUCGAACGGAAAGGCCCUGCUUUUGUGGGGUGCUCGAGUGGCGAACGGGUGAGUAACACGUGAGUAACCUGCCCUUGACUUUGGGAUAACUUUAGGAAACUGGGGCUAAUACGGGAUAGGAGCCCCUGUUCCAUGGUGGGGUUUGGAAAGUUUCGGCGGUCGGGGAUGGACUCGGGGCUUAUCAGCUUGUUGGUGGGGUAGUGGCUUACCACGGCUUUGACGGGUAGCCGGCCUGGGAGGGUGACCGGCCACAUUGGGACUGAGAUACGGCCCAGACUCCUACGGGAGGCAGCAGUGGGGAAUAUUGCACAAUGGGCGGAAGCCUGAUGCAGCAACGCCGCGUGCGGGAUGACGGCCUUCGGGUUGUAAACCGCUUUCGCCUGUGACGAAGCGUGAGUGACGGUAAUGGGUAAAGAAGCACCGGCUAACUACGUG
rnacentral:rRNA from 1 species